CGUUCUAAGGGCGUUGAAGCAUGAUCGUAAGGACAUGUGGAGCGCUUAGAAGUGAGAAUGCCGGUGUGAGUAGUGAAAGACGGGUGAGAAUCCCGUCCACCGAUUGACUAAGGUUUCCAGAGGAAGGCUCGUCCGCUCUGGGUUAGUCGGGUCCUAAGCUGAGGCCGACAGGCGUAGGCGAUGGAUAACAGGUUGAUAUUCCUGUACCACCUAUAAUCGUUUUAAUCGAUGGGGGGACGCAGUAGGAUAGGCGAAGCGUGCGAUUGGAUUGCACGUCUAAGCAGUAAGGCUGAGUAUUAGGCAAAUCCGGUACUCGUUAAGGCUGAGCUGUGAUGGGGAGAAGACAUUGUGUCUUCGAGUCGUUGAUUUCACACUGCCGAGAAAAGCCUCUAGAUAGAAAAUAGGUGCCCGUACCGCAAACCGACACAGGUAGUCAAGAUGAGAAUUCUAAGGUGAGCGAGCGAACUCUCGUUAAGGAACUCGGCAAAAUGACCCCGUAACUUCGGGAGAAGGGGUGCUCUUUAGGGUUAACGCCCAGAAGAGCCGCAGUGAAUAGGCCCAAGCGACUGUUUAUCAAAAACACAGGUCUCUGCUAAACCGUAAGGUGAUGUAUAGGGGCUGACGCCUGCCCGGUGCUGGAAGGUUAAGAGGAGUGGUUAGCUUCUGCGAAGCUACGAAUCGAAGCCCCAGUAAACGGCGGCCGUAACUAUAACGGUCCUAAGGUAGCGAAAUUCCUUGUCGGGUAAGUUCCGACCCGCACGAAAGGCGUAACGAUUUGGGCACUGUCUCAACGAGAGACUCGGUGAAAUCAUAGUACCUGUGAAGAUGCAGGUUACCCGCGACAGGACGGAAAGACCCCGUGGAGCUUUACUGUAGCCUGAUAUUGAAAUUCGGCACAGCUUGUACAGGAUAGGUAGGAGCCUUUGA
rnacentral:rRNA from 1 species